UGUCCAACGUUAAUCGGGGCAGGGUGAGUCGACCCCUAAGGCGAGGCCGAAAGGCGUAGUCGAUGGGAAACAGGUUAAUAUUCCUGUACUUGGUGUUACUGCGAAGGGGGGACGGAGAAGGCUAUGUUGGCCGGGCGACGGUUGUCCCGGUUUAAGCGUGUAGGCUGGUUUUCCAGGCAAAUCCGGAAAAUCAAGGCUGAGGCGUGAUGACGAGGCACUACGGUGCUGAAGCAACAAAUGCCCUGCUUCCAGGAAAAGCCUCUAAGCAUCAGGUAACAUCAAAUCGUACCCCAAACCGACACAGGUGGUCAGGUAGAGAAUACCAAGGCGCUUGAGAGAACUCGGGUGAAGGAACUAGGCAAAAUGGUGCCGUAACUUCGGGAGAAGGCACGCUGAUAUGUAGGUGA
rnacentral:rRNA from 1 species